rnacentral:snRNA from 1 species
AUCACUUCUCGGCCUUUUGGCUAAGAUCAAGUGUAGUA